AACUGGUAUAUGAAGACAGUGUAGUAGUGUUAUAACUGGUAUAUGAAGACAGUGUAGUGUUAACAUGUUAUAACUGGUAUAUGAAGACAGUGUAGUAGUGUUAACAUGUUAUAACUGGUAUAUGAAGACAGUGUAGUAGUGUUAACAUGUUAUAACUGGUAUAUGAAGACAGUGUAGUAGUGUUAACAUGUUAUAACUGGUAUAUGAAGACAGUGUAGUAGUGUUAUCAUGUUAUAACUGGUAUAUGAAGACAGUGUAGUGUUAACAUGUUAUAACUGGUAUAUGAAGACAGUGUAGUAGUGUUAACAUGUUAUAACUGGUAUAUGAAGACAGUGUAGUAGUGUUAACAUGUUAUAACAGGUAUAUGAAGACAGUGUAGUAGUGUUAUAACUGGUAUAUGAAGACAGUGUAGUGUUAACAUGUUAUAACUGGUAUAUGGAGACAGUGUAGUAGUGUUAACAUGUUAUAACUGGUAUAUGAAGACAGUGUAGUAGUGUUAACAUGUUAUAACUGGUAUAUGAAGACAGUGUAGUAGUGUUAUCAUGUUAUAACUGGUAUAUGAAGACAGUGUAGUGUUAACAUGUUAUAACUGGUAUAUGAAGACAGUGUAGUAGUGUUAACAUGUUAUAACUGGUAUAUGAAGACAGUGUAGUAGUGUUAACAUGUUAUAACAGGUAUAUGAAGACAGUGUAGUAGUGUUAACAUGUUAUAACUGGUGUAUAUUUGUAUAUAAUCGAACACCUUUGGGAUGAAUUGGAAAGCCUACUGCAGGGCCUAAUCGCCCCCAACAUCAGUACCCGUUUGGAAUGAGAUGUUGGAUGAGCAGUUGUCCACGUACCUUUUGGUUAUGUAGUGUGUGUAUAACAUGUAGAUAUGUCAAGGUAGCCUGGGUGCCAGUCAGUUUGUGCUCUCUUGCCAACUCCUUAUGGAUUUUUGAUGGCAUGACACUGAGUGUGAAGUGUUAACGAUUAUUACUGUGUAAUACCAGGUAUAUGAAGUGUUAUAACUAUUACUGUGUAAUACCAGGUAUAUGAAGUGUUAUUACUGUGUAAUACCAGGUAUAUGAAGUGUUAUUACUGUGUAAUACCAGGUAUAUGAAGUGUUAUAACUAUUACUGUGUAAUACCAGGUAUAUGAAGUGUUAUAACUAUUACUGUGUAAUACCAGGUAUAUGAAGUGUUAUAACUAUUACUGUGUAAUACCAGGUAUAUGAAGCGUUAUAACUAUUACUGUGUAAUACCAGGUAUAUGAAGCGUUAUAACUAUUACUGUGUAAUACCAGGUAUAUGAAGUGUUAUAACUAUUACUGUGUAAUACCAGGUAUAUGAAGUGUUAUAACUAUUACUGUGUAAUACCAGGUAUAUGAAGUGUUAUAACUAUUACUGUGUAAUACCAGGUAUAUGAAGUGUUAUAACUAUUACUGUGUAAUACCAGGUAUAUGAAGUGUUAUAACUAAUGUGUAAUACCAGGUAUAUGAAGCGUUAUAACUAUUACUGUGUAAUACCAGGUAUAUGAAGUGUUAUAACUAUUACUGUGUAAUACCAGGUAUAUGAAGUGUUAUAACUAUUACUGUGUAAUACCAGGUAUAUGAAGUGUUAUAACUAUUACUGUGUAAUACCAGGUAUAUGAAGCGUUAUAACUAUUACUGUGUAAUACCAGGUAUAUGAAGUGUUAUAACUAAUGUGUAAUACCAGGUAUAUGAAGUGUUAUAACUAUUACUGUGUAAUACCAGGUAUAUGAAGUGUUAUAACUAUUACUGUGUAAUACCAGGUAUAUGAAGUGUUAUAACUAUUACUGUGUAAUACCAGGUAUAUGAAGUGUUAUAACUAUUACUGUGUAAUACCAGGUAUAUGAAGUGUUAUAACUAAUGUGUAAUACCAGGUAUAUGAAGUGUUAUAACUAUUACUGUGUAAUACCAGGUAUAUGAAGUGUUAUAACUAUUACUGUGUAAUACCAGGUAUAUGAAGUGUUAUAACUAUUACUGUGUAAUACCAGGUAUAUGAAGUGUUAUAACUAUUACUGUGUAAUACCAGGUAUAUGAAGUGUUAUAACUAAUGUGUAAUACCAGGUAUAUGAAGCGUUAUAACUAUUACUGUGUAAUACCAGGUAUAUGAAGCGUUAUAACUAUUACUGUGUAAUACCAGGUAUAUGAAGUGUUAUAACUAUUACUGUGUAAUACCAGGUAUAUGAAGUGUUAUAACUAAUGUGUAAUACCAGGUAUAUGAAGUGUUAUAACUAUUACUGUGUAAUACCAGGUAUAUGAAGUGUUAUAACUAUUACUGUGUAAUACCAGGUAUAUGAAGUGUUAUAACUAUUACUGUGUAAUACCAGGUAUAUGAAGUGUUAUAACUAUUACUGUGUAAUACCAGGUAUAUGAAGUGUUAUAACUAUUACUGUGUAAUACCAGGUAUAUGAAGUGUUAUAACUAUUACUGUGUAAUACCAGGUAUAUGAAGUGUUAUAACUAAUGUGUAAUACCAGGUAUAUGAAGUGUUAUAACUAAUGUGUAAUACCAGGUAUAUGAAGUGUUAUAACUAUUACUGUGUAAUACCAGGUAUAUGAAGUGUUAUAACUAUUACUGUGUAAUACCAGGUAUAUGAAGCGUUAUAACUAUUACUGUGUAAUACCAGGUAUAUGAAGUGUUAUAACUAUUACUGUGUAAUACCAGGUAUAUGAAGUGUUAUAACUAUUACUGUGUAAUACCAGGUAUAUGAAGUGUUAUAACUAUUACUGUGUAAUACCAGGUAUAUGAAGUGUUAUAACUAUUACUGUGUAAUACCAGGUAUAUGAAGCGUUAUAACUAUUACUGUGUAAUACCAGGUAUAUGAAGUGUUAUAACUAUUACUGUGUAAUACCGGUACGGUAACUGUUAUUACUGGGUAAUACCGGGUACGGUAACUGUUAUUACUGUGUAAUACCGGGUAUGGUAACUGUUAUUACUGUGUAAUACCGGGUACGGUAACUGUUAUUACUGGGUAAUACCAGGUAUGGUAACUGUUAUUACUGUGUAAUACCAUGUAUGGUAACUGUUAUUACUGUGU